GGGCCAUUUUCCCCAACCUCUAACCCCAGCCAGGCUGCUGGACCUAAGGCUUCUGGACCUAAGGAAUGAAGACAGAGCAACAUGACAAUGGGGAUUCCUCAUCUCCCAGCCAACCCUUGCCAGGUCCGGCUCUGCCUCAGGCUGCGAAGGCAGCAGGGGGAUGGGCAUAGCAGCCCACUGUGCCGUAUCUGGGACCCUCCAGCUUGCUCCGGGGGCUCCGGCGCCCCACACUGGGAAGCUGUUCCCACAGGAAGCCUCCAAGUGAGUGGUGCCCUCAGAUAUAAACACGGAGCCCAGACACGUGAGCCCGGCCUAAGUGAGGAUAAAUCCCAUGACAAAUGUCCCCUCAAAAGCCCAGAACAAAGGCUGUGGUGUGUUUAUCCACCCUAAAGGCCGCACAGACAGCCUGGACCCCGGAAACAGCCAAUCACCUCGAAAUUGAUGGUGCACUCAGGACGCCUCGUUUAUGACCCGAGAUGUGAUAGAGACGCAGGCAGGCGUGACGGGGAGAGGCUGCUGCAGCCAGGUGGUCAUGGCCUCCUGCCUCCCAGAGGGCUUGGGCUCCACCCUCAGGCACGUAGCCUUUCACCCAAAGACAAAUGGGGGCAGAGCAACAGCCGCACCUGG
rnacentral:lncRNA from 1 species